CAGUUUGCACGGGGCUUAAGGAAAUAACUCAUUAGCAAUUCAGUCUCAUUUGAGCUCGCAAGCCACGAGGUCGCCCUCUUCUGCCUUCCGUCUAGCUCUACCAAUUCGCUCCAUAUAGCUUCACAAGAUAAGAUUCCUCCACUUUGCGAAAAAAGAUAUGGUUUUCCUUUCGUCAUCUAAGCGGCCCUUCACAUUAGCUGAAUGUGGUUUGUAUUUAGAAUUAUUGCGAAUUUGUUUUUGCCUAUUUGUUCGGAGUUUUAUGUUCACUAUUUUAUGUGCUUAUUUGAUAACUUAUUGUUAACCAGUUUGGUCUUUUGCACGUUAGCUCGCUUGGUUGAGCAGUGUGCUAGUUUUUUAAUUCAGUCCUAUUCCGUUGUGGCUCAACUAUAGAAUCCAACGGCCAAUUUCAAGCUGUAUCGGGCAAUGCUAAAUUCUUAUUCAGUUUGGUCUAUUUAUUGUAUGCCAGUCCGUUGGCUUGGCUACGUUAAAUUUCUUCGCUAAAUCAUCUGUUUUGAAUGUUUAUUACAUUACAGGUCAGCCCGCUUCUUCGGUCAAUGCUAAAUUCUUAUUCGAUUUGGUCUAUUCCCUGUACUUUUGCCCGUUUGCCGGGCUACGCCAAAUUACCACGCUAAAUUAUCAGUUUGGAAUGUCUAUUACAUUACAGGUCAGCCCGCUUCUUCGGCCAAUGCUAAAUUCUUAUUCGAUUUGGUCUAUUCCCUGUACUUUUGCCCGUUUGCCGGGCUACGCCAAAUUACCACGCUAAAUUAUCAGUUUGGGAUGUCUAUUACAUUACAGGUCAGCCCGCUUUUUCGGGCAAUGCUAAAUUCUUAUUCAAUUUGGUGUAUUCUCUGUAUGUCAGCCCGUUGGCCGGGCUACGCCAAAUUACCACGCUAAAUUAUCAGUUUGGGAUGUCUAUUACAUUACAGGUCAGCCCGCUUUUUCGGGCAAUGCUAAAUUCUUAUUCAAUUUGGUGUAUUCUCUGUAUGUCAGCCCGUUGGCCGGGCUACCCUAAAUUACCACGCUAAAUUAUCAGUUUGGGAUGUCUAUUACAUUACAGGUCAGCCCGCUUUUUCGGGCAAUGCUAAAUUCUUAUUUAAUUCGGUGUGUUGGCCGGGCUACGCCAAAUUACCACGCUAAAUUAUCAGUUUGGGAUGUCUUUCACAUUACAGGAAUAGUGGGGGAAACGGCCGCUUUUAACAAGUGGGGAUAAAUCAGUUAUGAGAUGCCCCACCUGCAAGUGCGGGGCCUGUGGUGGGGCAAAAAGUGGGGGAAUGGGUCAUAUCUGAGGAGGUCUGGUGACUGGUAUGGCGAUGUCCCACAAGUCACCACGAGUUAGCGUGCGCCCUACUAGAGCACAGAUGGCGGAUUCAAUGUCUUUGAACCCUUGGCUGCCUGUGAUUCUUCAUGGAUAAAACGGUCAUUAACGAAUUCGAAUAAUUGACACUCCUCCGCUGCUUCCUGCUGACAUUUACAAGCUUGUGUGGAUUUGAUCUUACAUUCACAGUGUGGGCGCAUCUUCGAAGCAUAGUUCGAGUUGUAAUGGCUCCAAGACAAAAACGAAGUUGCCCCUGCUGUGAUGCAGAAGUGGUUCAUUUGCCGCGACACAUGCGAAAUGUGCAUCAAUUGCCAGAGGGGGCAAUAAAAAAAUAUGCUUAAAAAAAACAAAAGGAGAAAACAGAAGAAUAUGUCCUUUCAAAGGGUGUUUCAAGAAUCCAAAAAAACUGCAAAACCAUUUAAGGGAAACUCAUAAAUUAAAAAAACUGAUCAAAAAUAUAAACGUUGUUUAUGCAUAGCAGAAUUUAUAGACAAAAAAACAAAAAAACAGAACAAAAACACCUCAAGAAGAAAAAGAACAAGAAAAGAAAUAGAAGAUCAAAAUCAGAUUGGAAUUGAAGAACUUGCUGCAUGUAAAUCUGAACUGGAGAAAGCGAAGAAGGAGAUCGAGAAGGCCUGGGCAUUAUACGACAAAGAGAAAGAUCGCCUGGAGAAAAUCAACUGGCAAAUGACAUGUGAAGUGCUGAUAUAUAGUUAUUCAGUUGCUUGAAGUGCUAAAGUGGUCCAGACCAAUUUGCAGGCUCACCUCAAGACAAGCAAUAGACUUCAAUAUGUAACUCAGGAGUCCAGUUCACCAACAAUCAAGUCCAAAUCCGCACAGGAGCUUGAGGCGGAAAACCGGCGCGCGCAUUCCAGUUGGCUAUCUCCUUCCAAGACAAAGGACUUAAUGGAAAAGACAAACAAAUUUACUAAACUUUUUAAAGUUGCAGAGAGAAUGCUGCUUAAAAAACAUUUAAUGUAAAUACACCUUUUCAAAAAACGUCAGUGCAAACGGCAAAUGGCGAUUGUGAAAUGUCAGUUCUACGACCGAAAGGACCAAUGGAUCCCAACAUAUUUGUUCCAAAUUCAGAAAAAUAUCAAUAAAACAUACGACUGUCCAUUUUAUGUAAUUAAUAUAUGGUUCUGACAUCGCUUGGGUUUAUUUAUCACCUUUAUUUUUACAAAUAAUUACUACCCAUAAACACCUUUCGGUAGUAGAACUGCCAUUUGGCAAUUACCAUUCGCCGUUCGCACUGACAACCUUUUUUGAAAUAGGUGUAUGUAAUAUGCAAUGUAAUAUGUAUAUAAAUUAUGAUGCAAUAAAAGAGGCUUCAUGAAAAAAA